AAGGCUUGCCGGCUUCUACAUAGAAUUGUUAAAAAUAAAGAGCAACACAGAACUAGAGACAUUUUCACCAACAUGCCAAAUCCAAGUCUGCUAUGGACAAUCACAUUCUCCAUCUUCCUAGGAAUCAGCACAGCCCAAGUCACUCAGUUACCACCAGCAAUGUCUGGAAAGGAAGGAGAGACUGUGACUCUCAACUGCAAGUAUGAGACCAGCGACAGUAAUUAUGUUUUGUCUUGGUACAAACAGCCUUCCAGUGGGGAGCUGAUUUUACUCAUUCGUCAGGAAGUUUAUAAGAAAAUGAAUGCAAGGAUCAAUCGAUAUUCAGUGAAUUUCCAGAAAUCAGACAAAACCAUCAAUCUUACCAUCUCAGCUUUACAGUUGGGAGACUCAGCGAUAUAUUUCUGUGCUUUACAAGAGCCCACAGAAGGAGAAGUGACAGAAGGAGAUAUACAGAAACACCAGUGCUUAGCAUGA